CAGAAAAUAUGUGGCCCUCAACCAAGCAAGAAGCCGGUGAAGGCUGGGUUGAGAAGAAACAGGAAUGUGAGAAGAUAGAUCAUCGUCACCGCUGCCCUGUGGAAGCUCCGCGCGAUUAUCCUCACCACUGCCCUGUGGAAGCUCCGCGCCUUACUCAGUCAAUCUCUACCACACCCUUACUCUGUGUCAGCGGUGGUACUAGGCACUGAGGAGGAGUCCAAUACCUUCCUCUGAAAGAGCUGGAAUUCUAGCCCUGCAUUGUCCAACAUAACUUUUUUUUUUUCUCAGAAAAGUUUCCAUAAUCUUUCUUCCCUCACUCUGUUGCCCAAGCUGCAGUGCCGUGGUGCAGUCAUAGCUCACUGCAGUCUCAAACUCCCAGACCCAAGCAAUCCUCUUAGCCUCUCAAGGAGCUAGGACUACAGGUGCAUGCCACCACACCCAGCUGAUUGUUUCAUUUCUUGCAGAGACGGAGUCUUGCUAUCUUGCCCAGUCUGGGAGAACUUUUUGUGAUGAUGGGAUAUUCUACAUCUUCACUGUCCAAUAUGAUAUCCAGCAGACACACGUGGCUAUUUCCGUUUAAAUUUAGAAUAUGGAAAUGUAAAGACAUUAAGAUGAAAUAAAUGUAAAAGUUCGGUUCCUCAGUCA
rnacentral:lncRNA from 10 species